CAUUAAGGAACAGUUGCGAAAUCGUGGGGUUGUUUCGUAUGGCUGGGACGGCGGACGGACGCUCCCGUCCUGGUCCGUGAACCAGAAAAGUCCAACUUCCGCUGAGCCACAGAUCAGAUAAGGAUUGGAAAGCUGAGCCGCGGCGGCGAUACUUCCGGCCACCCGGGGACAAGGAUAAUGGAGGAUGUGGGUAUGGAGUUUCUUCUCGACGCCGUCGACAAGUCAGUUCUUGUAGAUCUGGGUAUUUCGUGUGAUUUGUUUCGCAUUCCACCAAAACCAUUACGAGGUUCCCCUGAUCUUGCUUCCCACCGGAGGAACGAACUGUAGCGACCCCGAAGACUCAAAUGCUGGGUCUGCAUGCGGUCAGCGGCUCGGGGAAGAGGGACCUGAGAAAGCAUGAGACAGAGUCUGCCGGCGUCGGAAAUCAUCACCGACUAGGUCGGCGCAGUCCACAUACAGAGUCAACCCCCAGGCCCCAGGAUGGACGAAAGGUUGGACUGAACCUGCUGAUGGUUGGGAGACGGAGCUAUCUAGCCUGCUUGGUUGCCCUGGUGCACAUGGUGCCGGACGACUUGCUGCUGAGCACGGGCUAUCUGCUGAGUGCUCAUCCUCCUCAGAUAUGAGCGAUGAAAGUUAAAGAAGCGACACAGCCGAGCCUGCGGAAAAAUGCAGACCUAUAGACUGAAACUCAAUAUCACGCUUGAAGCCUGCAAGAUGCAAGAACUAUGGUGUUGAGGGUCACCGCCGCAACAGCUGCACCAUGCCUCACCUCUGGGUGUUAUUGCAUCUUGACUCGAAUUGCAUUUUCAGUAUGGUUCAGUUUGAGAAUUUUCUAGUGCGCGUUGCCCACUUGUUCAUCUCGGUUGUACGAUGGCUUUGUGUUCAUCAGCUGCUGCGUUCAUUAGUUAUGUUUGUGAACAGUUAACUGUGUUUUCGCAUGUAGUCGACUAGUCGAGGACUGCCUAGCGUGUGAUGUCUGUCAAGUCUGUGUGUUCCUGAUUGUAAAAACUCCUCCUAGUUGUGUCCUGGGUCACUCGAUGAUGAGAGUUUUUGCUGUAUGUGUCAUCA